AUGUCAUUUAGUUGCGUAGUUCAAGACAACCUUUGUGAUCUGACCUGCAACCUUCACACCCUGAGUGCGUCAAUGUCCUCAUGUUUUCAAUUUGUAAAUGAGGAUGUAUUUCCAAGUAACUGCUGUGAAUUCCUCUUUUGUGUGUGUGUGUGUGUGUGUGUGUGUGUGUGUGUGUGUGUGUGUGUGUGUGUGUGUGUGUGUGUGCGUGUGUGUGUGUGCGUGUGUGUGUGCGCGUGCAGUCUAUGUGUGUCUUUAAGUAUACUCUGUGGAAUCUUCACCAAAGAUGAUGAUGUCCAUGUGUGUUUGUGCCCUUGCAAAUAUUUUUCUCUCACUUUUUUUUUUGUUUUUAUCAAACCUUUACUGUUUGUUUUUGUAUACCCACUGAACAAUGUUCGUCUGAUUUGUACUACAAGUGUGUAUUCCAUUCAGUAUGGGGGAAAUUGGAUUGUCCGGCUUCUUUAGUGCAUCUGUAGCUGUCGGUGGCCACGUGUAUAUUGUGACCUGCAAUCAUUAUCGCUGCAGUAUAGUAGUUCUGUGUAUAUAAGGAACAACGAAAAUAAUUUCUGUUCCCUGUACAAUCAGUUCAUCCCAUCCUAAAAACUGUUUGAACUCUUUCCCUGUUGCUGGGAUUGUGAAGAUGUUAAUGUUUCUAAAGUAAGUAUUAGUGGUUCUCUGUGACUCACUGGGCACCAUAAAGCAUGGCACUAACACUGCCGGGGUUAACAGGCUUCAUCCCCAUUGUAGCCACCAAUGUUUAUUAAAAAAAAUGCACUGUAAGGUGCCUCAGCUAAAAGUGGCAUCCACCAGCUGGCACGUGUGAUGUCAUAUAUGUACCCUUUUUUUUUUGUUUUGUUUUUUUUAUUCUAUUUGGUUGUUUUAUGAGUCCGUAUUAGAAAAGCAGGAAAAGGGGGUUCCAGCGUUGACUUGAAGGUACAAACCUUGAAAUUUGGUUAGAAAAAAUAAUCACAGAACACCCUCCCCCCCAGACCCAGACCCAGACCCAGACCCAGACCCAGACCCAGACCAAAGUCACAAGCAAUACUCCUGAUGUCUCCGUUAAUGUCACCCUAUCACAAACAGGAGUCUGAAUGAAGUUUCCCUCCCCCCACUGUCCUGUUCACUCUUUACCAAGCUGUCUGAAGGUUUUUUGUAUACCCCCCCUCCUGCCCUCCCUGAAGAGACUGCCUGCUUCUAGAGUUUUGUUUAUCUUUUGUCUGCACUAAAGAUGUCAACUAAUGAUGUCAUGAUAUAAAACCAUCCCCGUUUAUGGAUUGGAUGGCAACUAUCACAGCAAGAACUGAACUGCUUCUGCUUAACCCUUUGUGAAUCCUCGAUGAUGGUCAGUGCCCCCCUCCCUGCCCGUGCAGCUGCGUCUGUAGUGGGUUGUUUUUUUUUUCUUUCUAUUUUUUAUGGGGGGCGGGGGGGGUGACUCCAGAGUGGACAUUUCAGAGCCACCGCUCCCCGUUUUCCCUCUCUCCAGUUGUCCAAUGUGUGAAAAACCUCCACCAACAGAACCCACAACCUUGCAUGUACUACCAACACUGAAGCUGCACCUAGCAUGAUGAUAAACUUUUAAAGGACUCGAGUAAAAAAAAAAAACAGCUAAAGAUAGAUUAUAAAAUGAACUAAAAAGAAUAAAAGAGUUCUUAGUUUACUUUUGCACAUGGUUGGCAUUCUUUCUUGUUCUGAGUGUCUGUCUCUGUGUGUCUGUGAAACAACCUUACCGGGAGAAAUAACAAUUUGCACACUGAAUGGUUCAUUUGAGUCGCUUUAAAUCAAACUGCUGGAUGUUAGUUGUUGGAGAAGGGUGGAAUUAAUUGCAUCAUCGUCUGAUCAUGCUUUCAGGCUGCGUUACCAUGAGAGAUUUUAUAUUAAGAUAAAUCAUUUAUGAGAAUCAUCACACAGAAUAAAUGCAUUUAGAAAGCUUUGCUGAAUUAACCGUUUUGUGAUUACAGCGAGGACAGUGAAAAAAAUACAAAGGCAACAAUGGAAACACACUCAGUUACUAGUAAAAGUUUUUAUUAUUAUUAUCAGCAAAAUGUAUAUAAAAGUAUCAAAGGAAAAGUACUUGAAUCUGAUAAAUUAUUACGUUAUUAAAUGGUGAAUUAAUGCAUAAGCAGUUUUACUUACAGGUAAACCAUUCAAGUGGUUUCUAACCUAGUGGCCAGACCCCUUCCAAAAUAAAUCUGAGGGGUUAUGAGAUGAUGAAUUG
rnacentral:lncRNA from 1 species